GCAGUCGAGCGAAUGGAUUAAGAGCUUGCUCUUAUGAAGUUAGCGGCGGACGGGUGAGUAACACGUGGGUAACCUGCCCAUAAGACUGGGAUAACUCCGGGAAACCGGGGCUAAUACCGGAUAACAUUUUGAACCGCAUGGUUCGAAAUUGAAAGGCGGCUUCGGCUGUCACUUAUGGAUGGACCCGCGUCGCAUUAGCUAGUUGGUGAGGUAACGGCUCACCAAGGCAACGAUGCGUAGCCGACCUGAGAGGGUGAUCGGCCACACUGGGACUGAGACACGGCCCAGACUCCUACGGGAGGCAGCAGUAGGGAAUCUUCCGCAAUGGACGAAAGUCUGACGGAGCAACGCCGCGUGAGUGAUGAAGGCUUUCGGGUCGUAAAACUCUGUUGUUAGGGAAGAACAAGUGCUAGUUGAAUAAGCUGGCACCU
rnacentral:rRNA from 1 species